AACAAUGGGCGAUGGUAAUUCAACCUAGUACGAAAGAAAACGUUAAUUCACACAAUUGGUUAUUGCGCUUGGUUGAAAAGCCAGGGGCACAAAGCCAAUGACGCCUACGCCUACGCCCGCCGCCUGACCCGGCCCAUGUUAGGGUUGAAUGCGCCCUAAGGGCCCGUGCCAUUGGCUAAGCCGGUCUAGCCGACAUGCCGCGGUUGGCCGCCUCGAAACUCCCUCCCCAAUAGGCGGUGGGUUGAAUCCUUUGUAGACGACUUAAAUACGCGGCGGGGUGUUGUAAGUGGUAGAGUGACCUUGUUACUACGAUCCACUGAGAUCUAGCCCCGUGUCACACGGAUUU
rfam:Triticum aestivum genome assembly, contig: Triticum_aestivum_CS42_TGACv1_scaffold_499743_6BL